ensembl:lncRNA
AUCACAGUGAGUCUUUUUUCUAACAGCUCUCCUGCAGCUCUCCUGUACCCCGACCUCUUGUCGCUACGGAAACAGUGCGCUGCCCUCACAAUGCUCACUCGCUCUGGGGAGAGACGCAGAGGAGAGGAGACGAAGGAGGAGGGAAGCUCCGAGCUGGACAGAGGGAUGAAGAGGGACUGGCAUGCAAGAGAUCCCAGGACAGUCAGCAGCAGCCCCUCCAUCUGAAGCAUCAGUCUCCCAUGGAAGAAGCCCCAGUGCACGUGGAGGCACAUGUGGUUCUACCAGACAGAAAAGAGGAGACUGACUAGAGAGGUCACUGCCGAGGGGCUGUUGAGGAAGGUAUGGCAAGGUCACCUUCUACUCUCUGCUGCCCCUGGAGGCAUACUACAGUACUGCAGCUUACAUGCUCUCCAAACUGCUAGAGCUGGUGUCUGCUAAGGAGCAGGCUGUACAUCAGGUUGAAUCCUACAGCCCCAUUACCAUCAUCCCUGGACCAUUCAGCACCGUGCACGCCUGAGGAACACAGAGGAUGUCCACACACACACACACA